rnacentral:rRNA from 1 species
GACGAACCGAGCGAACGUUGUUCGGAAUCACUGGGCUUAAAGGGCGCGUAGGUGGGCUGUCAAGGCUGGGGUGAAAUCCCACGGCUCAACCGUGAAACUGCCUCAGAUACUGACGGCCUCGAGGGAGGUAGGGGCGAGCGAAACGGGUGGUGGAGCGGUGAAAUGCGUUGAUAUCACUCGGAGCUCCGGUGGCGAAAGCGGCUCGCUGGAACUUUUAUGACGCUGAGGCGCGGAAGGUAGGGGAGCAAAAGGG